UAAAAUUUGAUUAAUAGGGUAAAAUUGAAUGCCUCGGAAUGGUGUUUUAUUAUAAAAUGGUAAAAUUAUUAAGAUUCUAAUUGAUAAAAAUAAUGCAAUAACACCUCCUAAAUUAUUAGGGAUAGAUCGUAGAAUUGCAUAUGCAAAUAGGAAAUAUCAUUCUGGUUGAAUGUGAACUGGUGUUACUAAUGGGUUGGCAGGUACAAAGUUAUCUGGAUCUCCUAAUAGGUAAGGAUUAAUUAAACAUAGUAUAAUUAAUAAUGAUGUUAUUAUUACAAAUGUAAUAGAAUCCUUAAAGGUAAAGUAUGGAUGAAAUGGAAUUUUUUCAAUAUCUCCAUUU